rnacentral:rRNA from 1 species
AUUGAACGCUGGCGGCAUGCCUUACACAUGCAAGUCGAACGGCAGCACGGGACUCGGGCAACUGAGCCCUGGUGGCGAGUGGCGAACGGGUGAGUAAUGCAUCGGAACGUGCCCAGUAGUGGGGGAUAACUAGUCGAAAGAUUAGCUAAUACCGCAUACGACCUAUGGGUGAAAGCGGGGGAUUUUCGGGCAACCGAGAACCUCGCGCUAUCGGAGCGGCCGAUGUCNGAUUAGCUAGUUGGCGGGGUAAAAAGCCCACCAAGGCUUCGAUCAGUAGCUGGUCUGAGAGGACGACCAGCCACACUGGGACUGAGACACGGCCCAGACUCCUACGGGAGGCAGC